rnacentral:tRNA from 1 species
CGAAAUUGGUAGACGCUACGGACUAAAAUCCGUCGACUUUAGAAAUCGUGAGGGUUCAAGUCCCUCUAUCCCCA